CAAUAAUUGAACUGGUGACAUGUUUCAUUCUUGGCUGAUCCUGCAUUCUUGUAUGCAGUGUGUCAACACGGAUUAUCACACACACAUUUAUGGAAACACUUGUUGUACAAACGAACAAGUCCAAACAUUGUACAUGUACACAAUGUACUACAUUAAAACCGCCUCACGCACAGCGGUGAGUAAACGCCAUGGCAACAGGACGGUGACGUUUCACUGAGGUCACCUGAACGCUGCUGGCCAUUCUGAAUUCACUUCUACUGUUGAACUUGACGAGUGUAGCUGUGUUACCUAAAGAGUUGAACGGUCUGAGGCCCAAUCCCGUGGAAAAUAACCUGUGGAGAAUAAAUUGUUGGAGAACCGACCAAAAGUACUAACGAGUGUUACGUGGAGGAGACGAUGUCUUCCAGUGGACCCCCUGCGGUGGAGCCCCUGCUGAGCAGAGUCAGACGGUGGAUCCUUGCCUUUGCAAGUGAACCCCUCUGGCCCCUGUUCGCUGACCGCCCUGUCGUCCAGAGGGCCCUCGACGACGUGGUUCUUCCGGAUUACGAGGACGAGCUGAAGGAGGCCGAGCCCACCAGAGGGGACGGUGAGCCACAGGUUCCUCCUCCUCCUCCCUUUGCUGCUCCCUACCCUGCUCCCUACUCUCACCCCUAUGCUGCUGCACGCUAUGCUGCUGCUCCCUACCCUGCUCCAUACCCUGCUCCCUAUGCUGCUCCCUCUUCUGCUGCUCCCUUUGCUGCUCCCUACCCUGCUCACUACCUUGCUCCUUACCCUGCUCCCUACUCUCACCCCUAUGCUGCUGCACGCUAUGCUGCUGCUCCCUACCCUGCUCCCUACUCUCACCCCUAUGCUACUGCUCGCUAUGCUGCUGCUCCCUACCCUGCUCCCUAUGCUGCUCCCUAUGCUGCUGCUCCCUUUGCUGCUCCCUACCCUGCUCGCUACGUUGCUCCUUACCCUGUUCCCUACUCUCACGCCUAUGCUGCUGCUCCCUAUGCUGCCGCUCCCUAUGCUGCUCCCUAUGCGGCUCCCUAUGCUGCUGCUCCCUAUGCUUAUGCUUUUGCUGCCUUUGCUGACCUUAACGCUGACCCUCACGCUGACCUUAACGCUGACCCUCACGCUGACCCUCAUGCUGACCUUAACGCUGUCCCUCAUGAUGGUGAUGAUGAUAUGAACGAUGAAAUUAACCGUAUGCUUCAAAGAUACAGGUUAGGGCUCCCCGAUGAGGAGGAGGACUCUGACAUUGAUGUCGUGGGUGAGUUUGCGUUACAGGUCCCUUUACUGGACAUUGAAGACAUCGGGCCAGUGCCCCCAGAAGACUCUUUUGAGGAGCUCCUGGAUGCAGAUGUUCUUGAAUCUCCCUCAACUUCUGGCCUCGACUCUUCGGCAAAACGGCGCAGGGACGAGAGCGACGGGGAGGAGUCUGCUGCGAAGAGGGCGCGUUAGUCUGAAGACAGCGACUCUGAUUGACAAUCCUCUGGGAAGCUUCGGAGCAACCACUGAGUCCACUUGCAGCAGGAACAGUGGUUGCCAUGGUAGCCUUUGCGUCUGGCAGGGCUAGUGUCCCCCAUGUAGCGUCUUGCAUUGGGGCUUUUCUGUAUUAUGUAGUCAUAUUUGCACAAGACAUCGGUCAACCUUUAUUUCAUCCUGAGGCCUUUGCGUCUGGCGGGGCUGUUGACCCCUUCUGCAGGUACUGGUAUCCUUUGCGUCUGGCAGGGCUUGUGUCCCCCAUGUAGCGUCUUGCUCUGGGGCUUUUCUUCUUCUUUGCGCGGUGGAUCGAUCAACUUUUCUUUCAUCCUGACGGCCGGCCUUUGCGACUGGCUUGGCCGGCGCUGCCUCAGGUAGCCUUUGCGUCUGGCAGAGGCGUUGACACGCCGAGCAUGUAGCCUUUGCGUCUGGCAGGGUUGAAGAAGACAAAAAUGCUUUUAUGUCUCGUUUUAUGCCUCCCCCUCCCCCACAGUGUCCACAUUCCUUUACAGGUUAAGAGUGAAGGUAUCAGUGAAAACUGACAAACAACAGAGUAAGUAGAACUCCCAAGGUUAGAAAUGCCUUCAUAUGGCCAAAUAUAGUGUAUGCCGUUAUGGAAAUUCAUAAUAUUCAAAUAUUUAUAAUUACUUCCCAUACUAAUCAUGUUUUUAUCCCAUUUGGCCGUGUGAAAAAGUAAGUACCAGCGUCUGUUUUGUUCAGACAGUGACCUAUAACAUGAAUACAAAGAAGUAAUAUGCAAAGAUAAUUUGCCCGUGCCACUUACCAUUAUGUGUUGUUACCUCUCUCACUUUGCCACCUGAGAUGCUGCUGUUCAAUGUGGACGAAAAAGGUAAGUAACUUAGAAUAAUCUGUAACCUACAGGCAACGUUAGAAGUAGGUUCUUUUAUUCUAUUGUAAAUCUGUUUAUGCACUUUGUAUGUUGACUCUAUUAUGCAAAUAUUGUUUUUACUAACCAAUACUUUAACCACGCUCCAACUGAGCUGCUGCUGUUCACCGAGGACCAAAAGGCCGCUACCUCUCGCUGUGGACUAAAAGAUGAGGAGCAGCAAAGGAGGAAGAGCCGGACUCCGGGUUCCUGCAGGACAUCCAGGGCUACACGUUGAACACUAAAAAGAAACGCCCACAUUCCACUCCCAGGACAAGAUGGAGAGCAGCUAAGUUGAACUACUUCCUGUUCUUCUGUUUCAGAGACUCAACUUCCUGCACUACAUCCAGGGUGACCAUGACGACAGAAGACAAUCGCUCACUCCCGACCAGGUGAGAAGGACCGUGACCAGAGGAGAGCUUUAGGCGUCCACGGUUCAGUGGAGGCAGCACUCCUGUUUUAUCCUUUGGAAAUCCUCGUGGUCCUGAGAGUGGAUGUAAACAGAAGUGCAAGCAGCCGUCCACUCAGAACAUUUCUCCACCUCACUGUUUAGAUGAAGAAUUCAAUAAAACACUUCUCAUAGAACCCUUUUGUUUUGGGAGAUUUCUUUGGUUCAAUCUCAUGUUCAUGUGAACCUUUUGGAGCGUUGAAUCGGUCGCAGGUGUCAUGAAAUGCAUCCUGGUUUAAAUGGCCCUAAACCAGCUUUGGAUCUUUCA
ensembl:lncRNA